AGAGAGGAGAGAAAGAGAGGAAGAGGGAGAGAGAGAGAUGUUGCUUCCUUCAAGCAUUCAGAGACAGGUUCCAACUAUGUCAACUGCCAGAGACCAAUUGCUUAACUCCCCCAGAGCAACAGCCACAACAGGAGAGAGUAACUGUCACUCCUAGAGACCAACAGUCAGAGAAAAACUGUUAGGUUUGAAAAUGACACUCUCAGCUCUGUUUGAAACUCCAAUUCUUUCUCAAGCCAGCUUUUUUACUUCUUUCUUAUCUUUAAACUAAUAUAACAAGACAAUUUCUAAUAUCAUGCUUAUACUUGCUCAGAGUCCCAUUUGCAUUUGUAGUAAUGGAAAUUGGUUCCAAACUUUUAGGGCAGCUGUUUUCUUAACAUAUAUCUUAACUUACCAUCCCAUCAUAAAUGCUUUUAUUAAAAUAAAAGUAGAUGAAUAUCUGCUGAUAAUAAGCAAGUAGGUAUUAGUGAAUAAUAUGGGAAACAUUAGAGACAGAGAAGAUCCCUUUUCUAAGAGGUGGACUUGAAGCUACUCACAUAAACAAAAUAUGUAGAGAACAUACAGAAGAGAAAGUUUUUUAAGAUUUCCCAGCACAAAUGCCUAGAAGCAAUAAAACAUGGGUAAAUUGCUGUUAAAUUAAUGCUUUUGAUCAUCAUAAUGUUUCCCUAAGGUACAAUUUAACCCAGUUUAGUAAAUUCUGAAGAAGAUCUUUGUAAUUAUUAUUAUUAGAUUUUUUUAAGCCUGAUGACUCUCUGGUCAGUUUUUCUGUGGAAAAGAAUGACUUAAACUGGGUUACCAAUAAAACAUUACACCCCCACCCUAUAUCUAUAUCUAUAUCUAUAUCUAUAUCUAUAUCUAUAUCUAUAUCUAUAUCUAUAUCUAUAUCUAUAUCUAUAUCUAUACACAUAUAUAUAAAUAUACAUAUGUUUAUACAUAAUUUUGCUACCUGUAUGCAGUGUGGAAAAAGAAACACAAUUGCAUGAUCUGAAUGCUUUCAAGUAUUGGAUGGCUGAUUUCAUAUUACAUCAGUCUUUUCAUUUUUAUUUAAGCACAUAAGUAAAACCAUGGCUUCUAGAGAGUGAAAAGAUAUAUCAAUUCAAUAUCCACUAUUCUAGAUGCUGACCUCAGUGAAGAAUUCCCAUGAUAUUUUUGCUUUCAUUUGUUCAAUGAAGGUCACCUAAAGAAUGAAAUAAACAAAAUCAUCCUGAAAAUAUACCAGGACCUAUGAAAUUUUAAAUUCAAAUUAUUAGUAUAGCACUAAAAGCAACACCUAUUUAAAAAUGUUUUCUUUUCCCAAUUUUCAUGAAGAGGUCAGUUGAUAUUUAAAGAUGUAGUUUUGUUCUUAAAUUAUACAUGGGUUUUGGUCUUUUUAAAUUACUAUAAUCCAUUUGAAGCCCAGAAGUCUCUUCAUGAGGAAGACAAUCUCUUUCCAGAGUUCCUCCUGAUUUUGGUUCCCUAUUUUUCUUCAUUAAUAUGUUUUGCUCUUGUAUUUUACAUUACUUUUAAUCCUUCAAGUGAUAAAUGUGGGAACAGUGGACAUACUGGAGUCUGUUUUCAGGCAGUAUCUUGAGCAAGACCAAUCCUUUCAUGAAAAGGUGAAGGGACAUUAGUCUUAGAAGACAAUGAGUUUGAGGAAGAAGAGAAAGAAGAAACACAACAAUAAGACCAAAAUUAAGAACAAGAAAAAGAAGGAAGAUGAGAACAAGAAAGUAUUGGCUGAAGAGAAUAAUUUGUUCAUUUGUUAUUAUGGAAAUAUUCAAGAUGACAACUCCAUCAAAAAAUAAAAGCUGCAUAUUUUCAAAUA